GACGAACGCUGGCGGCGUGCCUAAUACUUGCAAGUAGGACGCAGUUGCGAACGGGUGAGUAACGCGUAGGUAACUACCUAUUAGAGGGGGAUAACUAUUGGAAACGAUAGCUAAUACCGCAUACUAGUAGAUGGACCUGCUUUGUAUUAGCUAGUUGGUAUGGUAAUGGCCUACCUAGGCAACGAUACAUCGCCGACCUGGGUGUGUGUUCGUCCACGCUGUGACUCGGACACGGCCCAGACUCCUACGGUAGGCAGCAGUAGAGAAUCUUCGGCAAUGGGGGGAACCCUGACCAAGCAACGCCGCGUGAGUGAAGAAGGUUUUCGGAUCGUAAAGCUCUGUUGUUAAGGAAGCGGUACUUAACCAGAAAGGGACGGCUAACUACGUGCCAGCAGCCGCGGUAAUAC
rnacentral:rRNA from 1 species